CCCUUUAUACACCACAAGGUAGAUCAGAUUGUGAAUCUCCCGUCCGGCCACCUUGGUAAGGUUUGUUUUGAUCUCGCAUGACGAGCAUCCAUUCUUAUUAUGGAGAUAGCGGUGAAUGUCAGAGUGGCCCCACCUAACCUCGGCGCAGACUGAAGGAGAAGCGAGGCCUGCUGGCCAGAGCCGCGUGGCUUAGAGGCGGACUCCGCAUGACCGCGACGUGCUCGAUGAAGAAGGCAGGGCUAACUUCCUAGCCCCAGUGUCCAGUGAACCUAGAACAAUGCGCAUGCGAGCACCCAAGAGACCAAGCAGUGGGCCUGGUGUGUCAUUCACUAGCGAGGAGAUGAGUGGGCUGGCAAGUGGGUCCCACCGGUCGGUGCAACAGCGAGUGCGGCUAAAAGGAGAAAUGGGCUAAUGUGUGCACGAGAAGGUGGGGUAGUUGGGCCGAGCGGCACCAGAUUCGGCCCAGGUAAGCCUUUACCCUUUUCUAAUUCUAUUUUGUUUUCUUUUCCUAUUUUCCUCUCUUAUUCCCAUUUAAAUUCAUGUAUAAGUUUAAGUUUGCAAGGUAUAAUUGCAUAAGUAAUAAAAUCCUAGCAUGAUGCAAGGUUUACCCAUUUAAUUAUUUAUUAUCUUGGUUUAUCCAUUGAAGAAGUGCUUUCAAUAUGGAAUUCAUAUACAUAAAAGGUACUAUUCCAUGAAAAUCGUUUCCCAUCUCUCAUAUUAAAUAUUCUAAUGAAUUUUUCUAAAUAAGUUUUAUUUGGAUAAGGAUUUCUGAUUUAUUUCCUACUAAGACAAAAGUUCCUGGUCACAUAACCUGUAAUGAAUAGUUUCACUCAAAUAAUUGGUAAUCUUGCUAUGUAAAUUUUUUUCUCUUUUAACCCAAAUUUUAGUUCAAAGCUUUAAUUCUAGUCUUUGAACUAUUAAAAUUGUAAUAUUUCUAUUUCUUUUCUUCAGGUAAAUAUACUUUCUAAAGAAAGGAAGCUAUUGUUAAAAAACAUUUUGGCUCAAUUUUUUUUGAAGAAUUUCACUGACCUCUCUAAUUAAUUUUUUUGGGUGUUACAACUGCAUGGUGAGGAAGUGAUCCCACCAUGUCCUAGCGGAUCCAUGAAGCUACUAGGCGGCGAAUCUAACCUUGGCUGCAUCAGGGCACACUCCCGUAAGUAAUGGAAACUUGGAUCCCACCACAUAGAGCCAUACGUCUGCAUCCAACGGGUCUUUCGCUCGAAUGAACAACUGUGGCUGCGUGCUGAGGAAUUCUUUGUAGGUAGCGACCAUUUGUGGACGCUACUGUUGCCCACCACCUCCAAAGUGCCAAGGCUGAGGUUGAGGCUAACAUUGCACCAGCUAUCACAAAAUUUCAUUCUGCUGUGCCAUCAGCUCUUGCAUCAUGGGAGCCUAUGGUGGUGGCGGAGGAACAUGCCAAUUUUGUCCACAGUGCACUCUUCCUGCCAUCUAAAAUGCAGCAAUCCCUGUUGUUAUACUCAUGCCCCAUACUUGUGAAAUGUGACUUAAUGAGUAAUGAGUAAGCAGUAAAUCUU
rnacentral:lncRNA from 1 species